CAGUCGCUGGGCGGUGGUUUCCGGCUCCGCAGCCAGCAGUUGCGGCGGAUGGACGGCCGCCGUUCGGCCCGGCGUCAGCUGA
rnacentral:tRNA from 1 species